GAUGAGCAAGGGUCUCCCAGCGCGACAGGACAUGGAGAAAGAGCGAGAGACUCUGCAGGCCUGGAAGGAGCGCGUGGGGCAGGAGCUGGACCGCGUGGUGGCUUUCUGGAUGGAGCACUCCCACGACCAGGAGCACGGGUAUGGAUGUAUUGUCGCCUGUACCGCACUUUCGAGCGCUUCCGCCAUGCUCAGCUUCUGGACGCAGCAAAAGCAGGUGGUGAGUUCUUGCUGCGGUAUGCCCGGGUGGCACCUCCUGGCAAGAAGUGUGCCUUUGUGCUGACUCGGGACGGCCGCCCGGUCAAGGUGCAGCGAACCAUCUUCAGUGAGUGUUUCUACACCAUGGCCAUGAACGAGCUGUGGAGAGCCACAGGGGAAGUGCGGUACCAGGUGUGUGAGAG
rnacentral:lncRNA from 1 species